rnacentral:lncRNA from 1 species
UGACUUUAAUGCAUUUGAGUGAAGCAAAAAUGACAUCAUCACAAAUCUUUGUCCUUAUGACUUUUAUGGUCUUCGCCUUUGCAUCACUAGGUGGGUAUUUUCUUUUAAUUGAAUUAGCAAAAGUUAGUACUAAAUUUAUAAUAUCAAACUUAUUUAUUUUUCUAAUCAAUAAAAAUAAUUAAUUAUGCCUGUAAACAUUUUUAAUUUCUACCAAAUUAAUGACGAUACUUCUCAGCAUGUUCUUUAAUUAAACUUAUAAUGUCAAACAUUUUUAAUGAUUAUGAUCAUUCGCUAAAAUUCAUUAUCCAAUGGAUUGUUUAAAACUAUUUUUUAAAAACAAAGUAUUUAGAGGAGUUAGUGGUUUUCAUGUAACUUCUUGAAUUCAUUAAGCGAAUUAUAUUUGUGAAUAAAUUGAAAAAUAUGAAGUAAACAAAAGAAUCUUCAUUUUGUUUGAUUUUAAUAGUUUUUGUUAAUGAAUCAUCAACUCUUAAUUUAAAUAUUUUAACUCAUGCAGAGUUGACAGUUGGGCAAUGUUGGCUUUUUGUUCAUGAAGAUUGGGGAUCCUGUACAAGUGACGACGAUUGUCAGGUUCAGUGUAACAAAUAUCAUGACCGUGCUGCUUCUGUUAAAGGUCAAUGUGAAGCUCAAAUGAGCGUAUGUAGUUGUCAAGCUUGUUCGUACUAACAAUAUAAUAAUUUAUUGUACUGUUGGUAUAUAAGUUAACCAGUUAAUUACAAUUUAUUAUUACUUUAUUUUCGAUGUUAUUGUAUUUAAAAUGCUUAUUAUAAAAAUCACAUGUUAUCAUAAGUAGACUUAACUUAAUAGUGUGAUAAUCAAA